rnacentral:lncRNA from 1 species
GCUGCCGCCAGCACACGUCUCAGAUUCGUGUAUGGUAAAGAAUGAUUUUAAGGCUGCAGCAUGUCCCAAGGAAUGGGGUAAUUCCUUUUCAUCCUGAACUGAAGACAAACAUGGAGCAUGGGCAGAGUGGUGACAAUUCCCGUCAACAUUAGGGGAACAAACAGUUGCUGGUAGGA